GUGCUCACUUCGGCAGCACAUGCACUAAAAUUGGAAUGAUACAGAGAAGAUUAGCACGGCCCCCACUCAAGGAUGACACACAAAUCUGUGAAGCAUUCUGUAUUUUU
ensembl:snRNA U6 U6 spliceosomal RNA